CUUGUUUUCUUGGUAAAACAAACAAACUUGUGAAACCUGUGUGUCUGGUCUAGAGGAACAGAAAGUACUUGUCAUGUGAGCCUCCAAGUGCUCCCCUCCCACUGAGUAUAAUGUUAAAAGAAUUUCCAUAUCUUUGAUCAGAGGAAGAAUUCUUAGGCAAGCGCCACCUCUGAACCCUGCAGUCAAUAAACCUGCUUCCUGAAAAUUUCUCGGGUGUCCAGCCUCUCCUGUCCUACUCAGUAAUGCCGCGGUCCCAGGGCCAGGAAAAAGAACAUGCAAUGCUGGUGACUCCCAAGGUACCACGGCCAUACUUAAUGGUUAGCUUACGUUGCCUCCCAGGCACCUGUAAACACCACCUCCAUAAAGCUCUGGGCUGCUCAACCUCAUCAAACUGGACCAAAAAUUCCCCAGAGCUCAGACGUUGUCUCUUUUUCCUUGAUAUCUUCACUCAACCGCUAGCUACUGAACAUCAUCCUUAGCGCAUGCGCGCAGCUUGCUUCCGGUCCGGGAGCGCGGUGUGUUUGGCCUUUCCGUCCGGAAGGAGUUCCUGCUCCAGCUUCCUAGGACUGAGUUUUCCACGUGCCAUGGUCCCGGACUCAGGUCCCUUCCCUGAAAGGCCCCUCUUAAAGCUGCUACCUGUAGAUGCUAGGGACCGGGGCACCCAGCGCUGUCGCCUGGGUCCUGCUGCCUUCCGCACCUUGGGUGCGCGUGUGGGCUCGAAAGUGAGGAUCUUGCUGCCCGAAGGCGGCUCCUGCCUCUGCACUGCCUGGCCGCGGCGGGAUGGAGCUGAUGGUUUUGUGCAGCUGGACCUGCAGUGCGCAAGUCCCGGGGCGGCGGUGGGGGAGCGGGGUUCCCCGGGGACUCUCAGCCUGAGCCGCCUCAGCCUGGUACCCUGCCCGCCCCUGCGGCGCCUCUCUGUGUGGCCAGUGUUGCGAAUGCCCGCAGGCGCGCCGAGUGCCCCGAGUCCAGCCGCGGUGCUGGAGGCCGCGCAGGAGCUGCUGAGGAACCGACCGGUCUCCCAGGGCCAUGUGGUGGCCGCUCCGCCGGGCGACCCAGGUCCUCUGACCGCCCUGCACAUCAUCGGCGGGACACCCAACCCGGAUCCAGCGGGGCUUGUCACCCCUCGAACCUGCAUCGCUCUCUGCCGGGAGCCUCCGUCAGCGGCGGCGCCACAGCCCGAGGUGUCCCUAGGGGGCCUUUCGGAGGCGGCCGACUCGCUGCGGGAGCUCCUCCGCCUGCCGCUCCGCUACCCCAGCACCCUGGCCGCGCUGGGGCUAGCUGUGCCCCGUGGGGUGCUCCUGGUGGGUCCUCCCGGAGUGGGCAAGACCCAGCUGGUGCGGGCGGUGGCCCGGGAAGCGGGCGCAGAGCUGCUGGCGGUGAGUGCUCCGGCGCUGCAGGGCUCCCGGCCUGGGGAGACGGAGGAGAACGUKCGGCGGGUCUUUCAGCGCGCCCGGGAGCUGGCCAGCCGAGGGCCUAGCCUGCUUUUCCUGGACGAGGUGGACGCCCUAUGUCCGCGGAGGGGCGGCGCACACCGGACCCCCGAGAGCCGCGUGGUGGCCCAGGUGUUGACGCUCCUGGACGGCGUCUGCGGGGACCGCGAGGUGGUUGUGGUGGGAGCCACCAAUAGGCCAGACGCGCUAGACCCAGCACUUCGCAGACCCGGGAGAUUUGACCGAGAGGUUAUCAUCGGGACUCCCACACUUAAACAAAGAAGGGAAAUUCUACAGGUUAUUACCUCAAAGAUGCCCAUCUCCAGUCAUGCCAAUUUGGGUCUCCUUGCAGAAAUGACAGUUGGCUAUGUURGUGCCGACCUGACAGCACUCUGUAGGGAGGCGGCCAUGCACGCUCUCCUUCACAGUGAGAAGAACCAAGACAAUCCUUUGAUUGAUGAAACAGACUUCCUUGAAGCUUUUAAGAAGAUUCAGCCUUCAUCAUUUCGAAGUGUUAUUGGAUUGAUGGACAUCAAGCCUAUUGAUUGGGAGCAGAUUGGUGGCCUUGAAGAUGUAAAACGGAAGUUAAAACAGAGCAUUGAGUGGCCUCUGAAAUUCCCUCAGGACUUUAKUAGGAUGGGCCUGACACAACCAAAGGGCCUUCUCCUCUAUGGGCCCCCUGGAUGUGCUAAAACCACCCUGGUGAGGGCCCUGGCCACAAGCUGUCACUGCUCUUUUGUUUCAGUGAGUGGAGCUGAUCUCUUUUCACCUUUUGUUGGAGAUUCAGAAAAGGUUUUGUCUCAGGUAUUUCGACAAGCAAGAGCAAAUACUCCAGCAAUUGUGUUUUUGGAUGAAAUUGACUCAAUCUUGGGGUCUCGCUCAGUUAGCAAAACAGGAUGUGAUGUUCAAGAGCGAGUUCUUUCCGUUCUCCUGAAUGAGUUAGAUGGUGUGGGACUUAAGACAAUAGAAAGAAGAGGAAGUAAAUCAAAUCUACAGGGUAAAUACCAGGAGCUGAAAAAAAUGGAAGAGAGUUUCAAGAAGUUUUUAAUCAAAAUGUCAUGAUUGUUGCUGCAACAAAUAGACCUGAUGUGUUAGAUGAUGCUUUAUUAAGACCUGGAAGAUUGGAUAAGAUCAUCUAUAUUCCCCCUCCAGAUCAGAAGGGCAGGCUUUCAAUUUUAAAAGUCUAUACAAAAACCAUGCCAAUAGGACCCGAUGUUUCCUUAGAAAACCUAGCAGCAGAAACCAGUUUUUUCUCUGGAGCUGAUCUUAGAAACCUCUGCAAAGAAGCUGCUUUGCUGGCUCUACAAGAAAAUGGACUGGAAGCAACCUCUGUGAAUCAAGAACACUUUCUACAAUCACUUAAGACUGUAAAACCAUCCUUAAAUCACAAGGACUUGACUUCAUAUGAAAACUUAUUUAAAAAAGAAGGAUUUUCGAACUGGGAAGAUAUUUAAAAAUUAAAUCUUUGUUCAAUUGUUCACAUUUAUCUAAGUGUGAGCUUGCUUUUGGUUUCCAACUUCACACUUUUAGACUUUGUGUGUAUAUUUUCUGUAAAUAAAUAAAA